rnacentral:rRNA from 1 species
GGGAUUGCCCUAGUAACGGCGAGUGAAGCGGCAACAGCUCAAAUUUGAAAUCUGGCGCACGCCCGUAGUUGUAAUUUGUAGAGGAUGCUUCUGGGUAGCGACCGGUCUAAGUUCCUUGGAACAGGACGUCAGAGAGGGUGAGAAUCCCGUAUGUGACCGGCCCGCACCCUGGACGUAGCUCCUUCGACGAGUCGAGUUGUUUGGGAAUGCAGCUCUAAAUGGGAGGUAAAUUUCUUCUAAAGCUAAAUACCGGCCAGAGACCGAUAGCGCACAAGUAGAGUGAUCGAAAGAUGAAAAGUACUUUGGAAAGAGAGUUAAAAAGCACGUGAAAUUGUUGAAAGGGAAGCGCCUGCAAUCAGACUUCGCGGCAGUGUUCCGCCGGCCUUUUGGCCGGUUCAUUCUCUGUCGCGAGGCCAUCAUCGUCUCGGCCCGCUGGAUAAGACCUUGGGAAUGUAGCUCACCUUCGGGGGAGUGUUAUAGCUCACGGUGAUGCAGCGAGGCUGGGGCGAGGUCCGCGCUUCGGCAAGGAUGAUGGCGUAAUGGUUGUCGGCGGCCCGUCUUGAAACACGGACCAAGGAGUCUAACAUCUAUGCGAGUGUUCGGGUGUCAAACCCCUACGCGUAAUGAAAGUGAACGGAGGUGGGAACCGCAAGGUGCACCAUCGACCGAUCCUGAUGUCCUCGGAUGGAUUUGAGUAAGAGCAUAGCUGUUGGGACCCGAAAGAUGGUGAACUAUGCCUGAAUAGGGUGAAGCCAGAGGAAACUCUGGUGGAGGCUCGCAGCGGUUCUGACGUGCAAAUCGAUCGUCAAAUUUGGGUAUAGGGGCG